AAUAUCCAUGGGAGGCCUGCGGCAGAGAAACGAAAGGAGGUAUAUUCAGACGUGCUAAUCACGCCUGCGGGACUUUCGUUAUUUCUUCACCUCGAUUUCCCCCAUUUGCUCUGUGCCUUAGGUUUUCCCUUUAAGAGGAGUUCGAGCUGUCAAUUUUCAGCUUUUUCAAUUAUCUGUUGAAUACAUCUUUUAAGUGUACAAGUUAAAUAUUUCAAACAGCUGACAUGUUAACCAAUUUUAAACAGACUGCACAUCAUGUUAUCUGUAACUUGAGCCUUGGAUCAAAACAGGCAAAGUGUAUUAUUCCCAACAACGGGAAUAUUAUUAUUAUAAUUCACAACGUAAACACAUAUAGUCAAAAU